AGGCUGCAUACCUCCACAGCGGAGGCCGCCCAGGCGCGGAUGCGCCCCCGCUGCGCUGCUCUCCUCCGGCCUGAGCACAGCUUGUCCAACAAUCUGCCCAGCCUUAGAUGUGUAUCAAGGCUUCAGGGUCCGCGCCGCUCAGCUCCAGGCACUGUUAUCCCAAGCGACACCUGUGCUGACAGACCACGUGGGAGCACUACAGACUUGCUCUGUUUAGCUUCAAGAUUUCUCCAGUCUCCACUUGAACCAGCAUCAACUUUUAGCAUCCACCACAGGUUAGCUGCAUGUUGCACAAGAACGCACUUCCUUUCAUUGCUCUGAACCUGCCACCUGACAGUUUUAUCUGAUGCCCCUCAGCUAUUGUAUUGGAAGAAAGGCCACAGCAUGUAGCCAUAUCCAUCUGUGUUGUGCUACCUGUGAUUUUAUAAAAGCAGUUCUAGACUGCCAGUUGUGCCUGUGGCCUUUUUUUUCUGGAACAUUUCCAGUUCUACUAUAUCCUUUUGAAGAAGGGGAGUAGGAAAUCAGAAAAUAUCCAGUAUUCUAUUUCAAAGCAGCAUCCCAGUAAUUAAACUCUCCUAAUAACUCAUCCACACUGGGCUGGCCAUGUAGUCAGGAUAGGUAGGAGGCUGCAAGAUUUACAGGCAUAUCUUUCAGAAUCAGCUUUCUUGUGGCAGAAGAAAUGUGGGGAUGCCCUGAUAAUACACCCUAAAGCUUGUCUGAUCAAUACCAAUAGCAGAAAGGUUUCUGCUGACAUAUUAGAAGGCAAACAUGUCAAGAUGCUGCUGCAGCCUUUGAGGUAAAGUGUGCUGUCUAGGAAUCAAGAAAGAGACUGAGGGAGGAAAGGGAGCUCAAUAAAAGUCAGUUAUCACCACCAAGACCUCAUAAAUUCCUAUGUUCAGCUUGUAACCAUACUUGCUUCUCAGACUGGCCUUUUCUUAUAACACAGACAACAAAUAGCUACCUCACUCUGAAGUAAUAGUCGUACUCAGUUAAAAAAAAGAGCCAUAUUAUGAUAGGCCGCAUCAGGUGGCUGGACUCGCAAGGGACAAGAAUAGGCUGCACCUAACAGCAUGGGGAACCAUGUGCUGAAAUGGAACAGCUCUAGAUAGGAUGGGUUGUGACUUCCCGUUGUGACUGGGUCCA